rnacentral:rRNA from 1 species
CCUACGGGAGGCAGCAGUGAGGAAUAUUGGUCAAUGGGCGCGAGCCUGAACCAGCCAAGUAGCGUGCAGGAUGACUGCCCUACGGGUUGUAAACUUCUUUUAUAAAGGAAUAAAGUGAGGCACGUGUGCCUUUUUGUAUGUACUUUAUGAAUAAGGAUCGGCUAACUCCGUGCCAGCAGCCGCGGUAAUACGGAGGCUGCGAGCGUUAUCCGGAUUUAUUGGGUUUAAAGGGUGCGUAGGUUGUUGUUUAAGUCAGCGGUGAAAGUUUGUGGCUCAACCAUAGAAUUGCCGUUGACACUGGAAGACUUGAGUGUGUUUGAGGUAGGCGGAAUGCGUGGUGUAGCGGUGAAAGGCAUAGAGAUCACGCAGAACUCCGAUUGCGAAGGCAGCUUACUAGGCCAUAACUGACACUGAAGCACGAAAGCGUGGGGAUCAAACAGGAUUAGAUACCCCGGUAGUC